UAACUACUGGAAACGGUAGCUAAUACCGCAUAACGUCGCAAGACCAAAGAGGGGGACCUUCGGGCCUCUUGCCAUCGGAUGUGCCCAGAUGGGAUUAGCUAGUAGGUGGGGUAACGGCUCACCUAGGCGACGAUCCCUAGCUGGUCUGAGAGGAUGACCAGCCACACUGGAACUGAGACACGGUCCAGACUCCUACGGGAGGCAGCAGUGGGGAAUAUUGCACAAUGGGCGCAAGCCUGAUGCAGCCAUGCCGCGUGUAUGAAGAAGGCCUUCGGGUUGUAAAGUACUUUCAGCGGGGAGGAAGGGAGUAAAGUUAAUACCUUUGCUCAUUGACGUUACCCGCAGAAGAAGCACCGGCUAACUCCGUGCCAGCAGCCGCGGUAAUACGGAGGGUGCAAGCGUUAAUCGGAAUUACUGGGCGUAAAGCGCACGCAGGCGGUUUGUUAAGUCAGAUGUGAAUCCCCGGGCUCAACCUGGGAACUGCAUCUGAUACUGGCAAGCUUGAGUCUCGUAGAGGGGGGUAGAAUUC
rnacentral:rRNA from 1 species